UACGGAGGAUGCAAGCGUUAUCCGGAAUGAUUGGGCGUAAAGCGUCCGCAGGUGGCAAUGUAAGUCUGCUGUUAAAGAGUCUAGCUCAACUAGAUAAAAGCAGUGGAAACUACAUAGCUAGAGUACGUUCGGGGCAGAGGGAAUUCCUGGUGUAGCGGUGAAAUGCGUAGAGAUCAGGAAGAACACCAGUGGCGAAGGCGGGUUGCUGGGCCGACACUGACGCUGAGGCGCGAAAGCCAGGGGAGCGAACGGG
rnacentral:rRNA from 1 species